AUGUCAAGGACUCACCUGAGGAUAACGAUUGAUUCCGUUUAUACUGUUGUGUGGAUGUGGAUAGGGUUGAUAACCUCUGCUAGCACCAGGAUAGAUGUUCCUCAUCAUGGCACCUUGGCACGCGGGUAUCGGAAAGAAGACGUUAUCGCCAAUCCUGUGCCAGAAGACUCAAGCAGCCGCUUCAAGCAGCUUCUAAAUGGACCACGUGACUUCUGCACAUGCGUAUUAUAUGAAUAAAACGUUCUAUUACGUUUUCCUUCUGUUUUACCAACGGACCACACCACAAUUUACAGUUAAUUCGUAUAUACCGACAUCAGCGUAUGUAACUUCAGCGACGGAUAUGGACAAAAAAUGAACUACAUGUGCAAUAGGGAAACACUGUCCUCACUAUGCGCCUAUUGUGCAUCGGUGUAUAAUGUAAUGUAAUUAUGACUUUACUCGAAAUCAAUAAUCAUAUUUGGAAAAAAGGUGAUUAAAGAAAAUUAAAUGUAAACGAUUCUUUAUAGUUCUAUAUUACCUGUUAAUGGCUGAAAGAUUAUUUUAGAUAUGACAAUAUAUUAUAUAUACUUCUUUGUGCGCUCGUUUUAGAAAUUUAUUCUAUAGGAUUGAAAUUAUAAAUUUUAUGGAGCUUUAGAAAAAAAAAAAAAAUAAUAGUUAGAAAUUUAUGACCCGUCUUGCAUAAAAUAUGAAAAUUAUUAUGUAUCUAUGAGACGGAAUGUUAAGUUGUCUAAGUUUUUCUAUUUUAUCCUUACAUCCAUCAUCAUAAAAAUGACAAGUUGAAUGACUAAAAUUCAAGUUCGAAAGGAUAAAGAAUAGUGUAUCUUCGAAAAUGACAAUAGCCUAUAUAAUUGCCCUUUUAAGGACCUUUUCGGCAUAAAGGUUCUUUUUUGCUUCCUCAAAAAUCCUAUUCCCUAAUCCCAAGUAUUCUAUAAUAAACGUUUAUAGUACAAAAUUACAAUAGUCCCUGAUUCUUAAAUGCUCUUAAAGCAUAGAAAAUGAUUGUUUACACUUUUUUUAUCUUUUUUAAAAAUAAAUUUUGUUCGUCAAUAACUAUAAAAGAUUAUGCCAUCUGCAUUCAUUAUUGGCCUAAGUAAGAAAUGGUUUAAAGUAAGAAUAACGGUACGUCGUAAAAGCAUAAAAUAUAUUUAUUAAAAUAUCGAGAAAUAUAAUAAUAGUAUAAAAUAAAGUUAAGUAUAAUUGUAUUUUCUUUCUGCUAUCACAGGUUAAUCACACAUAAUGUAUUAAUAUUUAUAUGAAAAUUCGUAAUAAAUAUUUAUACCGAGUGAUAUGUUUUGUCGCGCAGACGAUAGGCUUCAUUUUCAGAAAGAAAAAUAAAAUAAAGAAAAAGAGAGAAAAAAAAUGGAAAACAAAAAAAAAAAAGAACAAGAAAAAGAAGAAGAUGUUCGAUCUACAAAAGUCUACGAUAUAUCUCUCAAAUAAAUUAUUAAUUCGAUGCUACGAUGAAACGUUCAGAUCUAUUCUAUACGAAUAAUCGAAAUAUAAUUUAUCAUUGAAUUAUCAUUAUAUAAUAUCGUUUUACAAAUAAUUAGAGAUAAUAUUUUGUAAUUUUUCAUUGACAUACGAAGUACGAUUAAUUUAAAUUGUAUCGUAGAAAUUAAAGAUAUAGCGAAUUACUAAAAUGAAAAGUAUAAUAAAAUAUUAUAUAACUAUGGAAUUAAAGCCAUGUACCAAAAUAAUGUGCAAUAUACUAUAAUCCUAUUUAUAUAAAUCUAUUUUAUAUCGAAUGAUUUUUUGUUUACGAAUAACAUAACUAAUUCGAUUCUUUAACCGUAGAUAAAUAAUAUUAUAUAAACCAACGAAGAUUCUCUGAAUAAUCUUAUCUCGCAAAAAAAUAAUUCUUCUUUAAUGUCUCGA